rnacentral:rRNA from 2 species
GGUAUUGAUUGGUGCUUGCAUCAUGAUUUACAUUUGAGUGAGUGGCGAACUGGUGAGUAACACGUGGGAAACCUGCCCAGAAGCGGGGGAUAACACCUGGAAACAGAUGCUAAUACCGCAUAACAACUUGGACCGCAUGGUCCGAGUUUGAAAGAUGGCUUCGGCUAUCACUUUUGGAUGGUCCCGCGGCGUAUUAGCUAGAUGGUGAGGUAACGGCUCACCAUGGCAAUGAUACGUAGCCGACCUGAGAGGGUAAUCGGCCACAUUGGGACUGAGACACGGCCCAAACUCCUACGGGAGGCAGCAGUAGGGAAUCUUCCACAAUGGACGAAAGUCUGAUGGAGCAACGCCGCGUGAGUGAAGAAGGGUUUCGGCUCGUAAAACUCUGUUGUUAAAGAAGAACAUAUCUGAGAGUAACUGUUCAGGUAUUGACGGUAUUUAACCAGAAAGCCACGGCUAACUACGUGCCAGCAGCCGCGGUAAUACGUAGGUGGCAAGCGUUGUCCGGAUUUAUUGGGCGUAAAGCGAGCGCAGGCGGUUUUUUAAGUCUGAUGUGAAAGCCUUCGGCUCAACCGAAGAAGUGCAUCGGAAACUGGGAAACUUGAGUGCAGAAGAGGACAGUGGAACUCCAUGUGUAGCGGUGAAAUGCGUAGAUAUAUGGAAGAACACCAGUGGCGAAGGCGGCUGUCUGGUCUGUAACUGACGCUGAGGCUCGAAAGUAUGGGUAGCAAACAGGAUUAGAUACCCUGGUAGUCCAUACCGUAAACGAUGAAUGCUAAGUGUUGGAGGGUUUCCGCCCUUCAGUGCUGCAGCUAACGCAUUAAGCAUUCCGCCUGGGGAGUACGGCCGCAAGGCUGAAACUCAAAGGAAUUGACGGGGGCCCGCACAAGCGGUGGAGCAUGUGGUUUAAUUCUAAGCUACCCGAAGAACCUUACCAGGUCUUGACAUACUAUGCAAAUCUAAGAGAUUAAACGUUCCCUUCGGGGACAUGGAAACAGGUGGUGCAAGGGUGGCGCCACCUCG